rnacentral:rRNA from 1 species
CCUACGGGCGGCAGCAGUGAGGAAUAUUGGUCAAUGGACGGAAGUCUGAACCAGCCAUGCCGCGUGCAGGAAGACGGCUCUAUGAGUUGUAAACUGCUUUUGUACAAGGGUAAACCUGAAUACGUGUAUUCAGCUGAAAGUACUGUACGAAUAAGGAACGGCUAACUCCGUGCCAGCAGCCGCGGUAAUACGGAGGAUCCAAGCGUUAUCCGGAUUUAUUGGGUUUAAAGGGUGCGUAGGAGGAUUGAUAAGUUAGAGGUGAAAUGUCCGAGCUUAACUCGGGAACUGCCUCUAAUACUGGUGAUCGAGAGAGUAGAUGCGGUAGGCAGAAUGUAUGGUGUAGCGGUGAAAUGCUUAGAGAUCAUACAGAACACCGAUGGCGAAGGCAGCUUAC